rnacentral:rRNA from 1 species
CCUACGGGGGGCAGCAGUAGGGAAUAUUGCUCAAUGGGGGAAACCCUGAAGCAGCAACGCCGCGUGGAGGAUGAAGGUUUUCGGAUUGUAAAAUCCUUUUGUUAGAGAAGAUAAUGACGGUAUCUAACGAAUAAGCACCGGCCAACUACGGGCCAGCAGCCGCGGUAAUACGGAGGGUGCAAGCGUUACUCGGAAUCACUGGGCGUAAAGAGCGCGUAGGCGGGAUAGCAAGUCAGAUGGGAAAGCCUAUGGCUUAACCAUAGAACUGCAUUUGAAACUGUUAUUCUAGAGUGUGGGAGAGGUAGGUGGAAUGCUUGGUGUAGGGGUAAAAUCCGUAGAGAUCAAGAGGAAUACUCAUUGCGAAGGCGACCUGCUAGAACAUAACUGACGCUGAUGCGCGAAAGCGUGGGGAGCAAACAGGAUUAGAUACCCCAGUAGUC